GAAAAACCCAGCUUGGCUCCUCUUAGGAAGAAUCUCUUCACCUUUUUUUUUUGGUAUAUAUUAUGAGAGAACUGUUAAUGCUUCUCUCUGUGCAGUCCCACACACCUGCAGCAGCUGGGAUCUGGAGGUGCUCGUUCCCUCUGCUGUCCCCUGGAGUGCUGGAGAUGGAGGAGGUGUUCCUGCAGCUCUGGGGGGAGGUGGCCAGGCUGCAGGAGCUGUGCUCGGAGCAGGGGAGGCUCCUCCAGAGGCUGAGGGCCAGGAAGGGACCAGUUCUCGACAUCCCGGUGUCGCUGCCUAUCCAGUGCACGGAGGACGUGGUGCCAGGGGACGGGCAAAGGUCACCUGAGAGCUGCCAAAACCACCCAGGGGCUCUGACAUCCUCCACAUCCCCCCUGGAGGGCUCUGCUUGUCCCAUGGAACAUCCCCAGGCCACCAACAGGCUCCCCCCAGGCCCUGGGAAUGGCGUGGGGACCGGAGGAGCCGCAGCUUUUGGCAGCAGCGAGGGGGAGAAGGGAGAUGUGCCCACCUGGAUGAGAACCUGGGUCCUCCCUGUCCCCUGGGAAGGAGGAAGAGCCCCCUGCAGCCCUCGGGAGUUGGAGACACUAAAUCCAGGGGCUGGGGGCUCCUUCCCAAAUCUUCUGGAUCUCUACAGAGCCCCAGAAGUGCUUGAGAGGGAAGAUGGUCCCCGGGACGUGGCUCUCCCUGGGGAGGCUCUGGUGGAGAUCCGAGGGCCUGUGAAGACGUGCUGGACUCCAGGCUGGGUGAUGGAGGAGGAGAUGCUCAGGACCGGCCCCACCCGUGAGGCUGCUCCAGCCUGUGACCUGUGCCGGGAGAUUUUCCCCUCAGAUGCAGCGGGACACGUGGAAUAUUUGAACCAUGUCUUGGCCCAUCUGGAGUAGGACUUGUCUUCCCAAUGGGAAAUCCAUGGAUUUGCACCACAGGACAGACUCUGCACAUUCCCAAGCUGGACUUGAUGGCCUCAGAGAGCUUUUCCAGCCCUGGGGUUCUGUGGCUGAUGAGGAUUCCGGGAUCCUCCUGCUGGUUUGGACUGGGAGCAGCUGCCACGUUCCCUGUCCUUCUCCAUGUGGAAUGAACUCCCAGAUUUGGAUUAUCCUGGCUGUGUUUUGGGUUACUGAUCUCUGUGGAUGUUGAAGCCAAUCCCAUCCUGGGGUCUGGAGGUGCAGCUCCUGGGAAAAGGGAAUUUCUCAAAAUUUGCCUUUGACACAGUGGAAAUGAAUCUUCCAUAAAUAGUCAGGGAUGUUUGGGAAGACACAUCGGCUUUCUCUGGGAGUUUGGAAAGUUGGGUGGGAGAAUCUCAAGGUUUUUGGGGUCACUAAGUAUUAUUUUAAUUCAUUAACAGUAAUUUGAGAGUUUUAUGGCACUUCCAUCAGUGGUAUCCAAUGUGCUUCCCAAAGGGUUUCACUGCAGCAGUGGGGAAAUUGAGGCACAAAUCAUGGAUCAUCUUCAAAUCCCUUUUUUCUUCUGGAAAAAUCUCAUCUCAGGCUUUUCUAUUUUGUAAGUUUCUCCUAAAGUGGAUUUGGCAUCUCCUGUUUGAGAAAACUUGUGUUGAAAUGGAGAGCCAGGUUCUUCUCUAAUUCCAGAAGAAUUGGGAUCUCCAGCUCCAACGUUCUCCUCUUUGGCAGCACAGAAAAGUCAGGAGUUAAUUUUCUUCCCCAAAGCAGAGCCACAUUAAUGGAUUAACCCAUGACAAACCCACAUGUCCCCAGGGUCCCUGGAACCAUUUUCCAAGACAAAUCCCACAGCUCCUUUCUCUGGAUCUGCAGCUUUGACCUUGGAUUCUCCAUCCAUGUGGAUAUUGGAGCUGCUUCCAGCCCUGGGUAGAGCUGGGGCCUUUAUUUCACUGAAAAUGGAUUUUCUCAAGGUUUUCUUGGGAUUUUC
ensembl:lncRNA